AAGAGCCGGAUGAGGGGAGACUCUCACGUCCGGUUCCGUGAGCAGGUGGGAGUGAGACUCCCCUGCUUGACUCGAC
rnacentral:ncRNA from 1 species